rnacentral:rRNA from 1 species
UACGUAGGGUCCGAGCGUUGUCCGGAAUUACUGGGCGUAAAGAGCUCGUAGGUGGUUUGUCGCGUUGUUCGUGAAAACUCACAGCUCAACUGUGGGCGUGCGGGCGAUACGGGCAGACUAGAGUACUGCAGGGGGAGACUGGAAUUCCUGGUGUAGCGGUGGAAUGCGCAGAUAUCAGGAGGGAACACCGGUGGCGAAGGCGGGUCUCUGGGCAGUAACUGACGCUGGAGGAGCGAAA